UGGGGAAUAUUGCACAAUGGGCGCAAGCCUGAUGCAGCCAUGCCGCGUGUGUGAAGAAGGCCUUCGGGUUGUAAAGCACUUUCAGCGAGGAGGAAGGUGGUGAACUUAAUACGUUCAUCAAUUGACGUUACUCGCAGAAGAAGCACCGGCUAACUCCGUGCCAGCAGCCGCGGUAAUACGGAGGGUGCAAGCGUUAAUCGGAAUUACUGGGCGUAAAGCGCACGCAGGCGGUUUGUUAAGUCAGAUGUGAAAUCCCCGGGCUCAACCUGGGAACUGCAUUUGAAACUGGCAAGCUAGAGUCUCGUAGAGGGGGGUAGAAUUCCAGGUGUAGCGGUGAAAUGCGUAGAGAUCUGGAGGAAUACCGGUGGCGAAGGCGGCCCCCUGGACGAAGACUGACGCUCAGGUGCGAAAGCGUGGGGAGCAAAACAGGAUUAGAUACCCUGGUAGUCCACGCUGUAAACGAUGUCGAUUUUGGAGGUUGUGCCCUUGAGGCGUGGCUUCCGGAGCUAACGCGUUAAAUCGACCGCCUGGGGAGUACGGCCGCAAGGUU
rnacentral:rRNA from 1 species